AUUUCUUGCUGUCUGUUCCCAGGAGCAGGGGGCAGCCACUCCCUGGAUUCAUCCCUCCAUGCCCUGAACCCUCCAGUAAGUCAGUCUCUUUCGUGAGAUUUGCUCCCUGGUGUGGCUCUCUCAUUGGAAGAAGCCAAGAAGCAAUGAAGAGAAGGAGCAGGGCUGAGACUCCUUAGCUCAGCUGGGGAUCCCCUCCGCUGGGAGCUGCAACGCCUCUGCUGAAGAGGCUUCCUCUCAGAGCUGCGUGGUUCCUGAGCUCCUGUGUCUCAGGACACCUUCCAGCCGAGCAGAAACACUUGGGAUGGCAAAGGAUGGCUACAUGGACCACAAUAGAAGUCAAACCCGCUCAUCUGUUUUAACAACAUGAAAUUGGAGUUCUUAUCAGAACCAAAAUCAUCAGAAUGCUCUGUCAUUUCCCUCCGCGCUACAAAACACAAAGGGCUCUCUGCAUAGGAUAAUAGGUGAAUGUUUAUACACAGUGCACAGUGACAUUAUGCCUGCAACUUCCUCACCACAUGCAUUACUGGUCAUCUUGGCCUCACUCUGAUAUCUCUGUCUUCAUCUGAUUCCUCAUGUUGAGUCCUCCUGUGGCCAAUUGAAACAUUCGGAAGUCGCGCCUUAUACUUUCCUGCCCAGUUUUAGCCUGAUCAGCUCUUUAUUGACCAAUCAGAAGAUAUUGGAGGUCAUUGUUUCACAAAAUGCUGAGUGAGGAAAUGUUUCAUAAAAAUGACAAUUAACAGGGCUGGGGAUUUAGCUCAGUGGUAGAGCGCUUGCCUAGCAAGCGCAAGGCCCUGGGUUCGGUCCCCAGCUCCAAAAAAAAGAAAAAAGAAGAAAAAAAAAUUGACAAUUAACAGUUCUGGACUACAUUCAGAUCUCUGGGUACAGAAAUCAGUCCUUAAAUAUAAAGUGCUGAAAAACAUUCCCCAACAUUGCCCCCUUUUAGUCUAAAAGAGGAUCUUAGAUUAUAAACUAUAUAUAACAACAGUUAUAGAAACUAUCAGGUAAUCGCUUCUCGGCCUUUUGGCUAAGAUCAAGUGUAGAAACUA
ensembl:lncRNA